GGAUCCACCCCUUCUGAAGUCUCUUGUUGUCUUCCUCCCUCAAGAGAUGUCUGCCCUAUUUUCCACUUGUUUGGAAACUAUCUCCCCUGUCUGGUGUCCUUGCAGCUGUGCAUCUGUCAGUCUGUGCUGGAUGAGUACCUUCUCACUGCCAAAGUAGUUGGAGGGACAUCAAACACCAGUGAUGGGAACACUGAACCUCACAUAAGGGGCAAUGCAGCAUCUCUGCCUUCUUCUGGGUAUUCCUCUUAAAUGGCUUGACAAUAACCACCAACCAGCACUGCCAUACAUGUGUCCUGUACCUAUCAGAGGCACUAGGGCAGUUUUGGAACAGAGAGCCCAUAGAAAGGCUACUGCUUAGAGAUAGCCAUUUUCUUCUUGGAGCUGGACCAGUGAAUUAGACGCAUGGAGGAGAGCUGGAAAAUCCCUUUUUGGAAGAGCUACACAAAACCAAAAUUUGGAAUUCGUAGCUAAUAACCAUAAAAAUUAAGAAAUGACUGUUGGAAGAGCACUGGAAAUCACCUGAUUAAGUUAAGAAAAACUAACUAGCUCAUGAGAAAAUUAUUUUCAGGCCAGCUGUAGCCUGUACCCUUUUGAAAAUCCCCUGACUAGUGAGUUCAUUUUUGUUGGAAUAUAGAAUUUUUCUUUUCUAAGCAGAUGUAAACUUGUCUUUCUGUGGUUGGCUUUGGAGCCCACAAGAUAAUUAAAUGGCAGUGCUAACUGAAAGCCUGGGCUGUGCUUAUAGGUUCAAGAGGCAGGUAGAAGACACUGGGUUGGGGAAGUAGGGCUAUGGAACUGUGGCUCUGGCUAAGAUUACUAAUGUCUGUGAGCGCUGGAAGAAGGGAAAUAGAAAUGAAAAAACAUGAAUAUGGUUGAUGGGCCAGACUGAGUGUUGAGGUCCUAUGAUGUAUCAAAGAAUGGCUUACAUGAAAGUUAUAAGGUGUGGA
rnacentral:lncRNA from 1 species